rnacentral:rRNA from 1 species
UCCAGACUCCUACGGGAGGCAGCAGUGAGGAAUAUUGGUCAAUGGCCGGAAGGCUGAACCAGCCAAGCCGCGUGAGGGAGGAAGGCGCAGAGCGUCGCAGACCUCUUUUGCCGGGGGACAAAAGGCCGGACUCGUCCGGUCCUGAGGGUACCCGGAGAAAAAGCAUCGGCUAACUCCGUGCCAGCAGCCGCGGUAAUACGGAGGAUGCGAGCGUUAUCCGGAUUUAUUGGGUUUAAAGGGUGCGCAGGCGGAGGCAAAGGUCAGCGGUAAAAUCGCGGGGCCAACCCCCGCUCCGCCGUUGAAACUGUGUCCCUUGAGUGCGCGAAGGGUAGGCGGAAUGCGUGGUGUAGCGGUGAAAUGCAUAGAUAUCACGCAGAACUCCGAUCGCGAAGGCAGCCUACCGGCGCGCAACUGACGCUCAUGCACGAAAGCGUGGGUAUCGAACAGGAUUAGAUACCCGAGUA